CCGGGCGCACGGGUGAGUAACGCGUAUGCAACUUACCUAUCAGGAGGGGAUAACCCGGCGAAAGUCGGACUAAUACCGCAUGAAGCAGGGGCCCCGCAUGGGGAUAUUUGCUAAAGAUUCAUCGCUGAUAGAUAGGCAUGCGUUCCAUUAGGCAGUUGGCGGGGUAACGGCCCACCAAACCGACGAUGGAUAGGGGUUCUGAGUGGAAGGUCCCCCACAUUGGUACUGAGACACGGACCAA
rnacentral:rRNA from 1 species